AAAACGAAGAAGUAAACGCAGCAAGAACAGAACUGAAACUGUCGGGACAAAUCUGUAAAUAUUCGAGCUAGAAAAGCAGAGGGAGGUGAAGAGAAUUGCUGGACGUCAAGACUUUCUUUAAGACAGCAGAGAAGAUCCGUUCUGCUGGUGUGGAUGGCAGGAAUACAAAGAAAAUAUCUUGCAAGCUUUGAUAGGUUUGGGAAACGUCCCUCAUUUUCCUUCCACCAACUUAGAGGAUCUUCUUGUUUGGGUAUUUGUGAUUCUGAGAAAUACAUCUGUACUUCCUUUCUCACCAUCUGAAUCUUUUGGUCCUCAUGCAACUCUUCCUCUUCACUAAGGCUCUCUGUGUCAGACUGGAGGAGGUUUUCUAGCACUGACUGUUGCUCUCUCCUAGGAACAAUGACACCCUGAAGCUGCCCUUCUUCUGUAGGUUUCCAAGACAGUUUUACAGCUUUAAUAGUAAGGACUUCGAUGGUGCUUUGAACCUCUAUCCUCUGUUCAGCAGGUAUAAACUUGAGCUUUCGAAAUCUUGGAUCUAGGGCUGCAGAUAGAAGAGCUGUGUUGUCUUACUCCUUGAUGACAGUGCUGAUAUUCCCCCACCUCUCUGUUAACUCCUUAGAAGCUGUGGUUAAAAAAGCUUUUCCAGGUGUUGUUUCAAAGCUAAGGGAAUGUUGAACAGACCUCUGUAGCCCUUUUGUAAGCUGAGGAAGGCAUGAUAAUGUUGCAUACUCUUGACUAGGGAUGUAACGAUUCACUCAGCUCACGAUGCGAUUUAUUCACGAUUUAUUUUUACAAAAUGAGUUGAAACAAAUUAGAAAUUAACAACUUCCCUUGCAUUAUUUCUUAAAUGUUUCACAUUUCUUUGUAUAAUAAAAUAAUGUUUUAUUUCAAAUAACAAAACUAAACUGCAAUUUUAUAACAAAUUAAUAAUAGAAAAAGUCUCUUUAAUAUAAACAAACUAAUACUGUCUGAGCUUUUCUUGGAUUUUUUUGCAUAUAAGAAAUAUCAGCAUGUCCACGUUUAGAUCUGCAGUGAAAAUAGCGGCCCCUGCUGUUCAAAAAAUGUAUUGCGAUUCAGUUCACACCUCAACCGAUUUGAAUAGUCACUCAUUAUAACCGAUUUUCAACCGGCUCACGGUGAAUCGUUACAUCCCUACUCUUGACCACUAAGAAACUCAGUGGCACACUGGAAAGGUUGCAGGCCCCGGGUCAGCUCUUCAAGCAGUGACCACUGAUCAGGCUUCAAAUCAAAGUAAUGUUUACCCCUUGGUGUCACGUCAGGAUCAGAAAGUGUGGCAGUAAUGGGCCAGCAGUCUCUCCACCAUAAAGUAGGUGCUAUUCCAUCGAGUACUAUAAAUAAUGUCAUUGUUUGUUCAUAUUGGUUCAGUUUACAUAUUAAUAGUUAUUUAUUAGUUAAUGUAGUUAACUACAUAUUGGAACUAAUAUUGCAGUGUUAUCAUAGAUUGUUCCUAAAACAUGCAUUUGCAAUUCUGCAUUAGAUGUAUGUUUACCUUUUGGCAGGUUUUUUCAUAUUUUUGUUCCAAUGAACCUGUUAAGUAGGUUCUUGAUGGAAGGGAUAUAUCCAGGGUUGAAUGCAGAACCCAUUUCACGAACGCCUUCCCCAUCCACCAUGGAAAGAGGUCUCAUGUCUUUAAUGAUCAUGACUCUGUAAGAGCAGCGGCUUGCUGAGUAGUACAAGAAUUCCUCCUCAAAAGAAAGUCAUCCAUAACAGGCCCACUGCUUUUCUUAGAACUGAAACAGAACAUGGGGCAUUUCCUUCAGGACAUAGAAUGGUCUGUUUCUCUGAACCACAAAGAUUUUCUCAAGAGGAGAGUGCAGACAUGAGUAAUACAGAGCCAUACAGAAUAAAAAAUGAAGAUACUGCAGACGAAAGAGAUGUAAUGGAAGAAGAAAAAACAUCAAUAUCAGAAAAAUCUUUUCAUCGCUUGCAGACAACAAAUACUUUAUUUUCUUUUACUUGCUCUCAGUGUGGAAAUGGAUUUGGAAGUAAAGAGCAGCUUGUGAUGCACAUAAGAAUCCACACUGGAGAAAAGCCUUUCACCUGCACUAAGUGUGAAAAAAGCUUCAAAAGCAAAAAAACACUUAAUGUUCACAUGAAAAUUCACACUGGAGAGCGCCCGUACACAUGUCCACAGUGUGAAAAGAGUUUUUUGCAAAAGUAUACUCUUGAAAAUCACAUAAGAAUUCACACUGGAGAACGCCCUUACACAUGUCCUCUGUGUAAAAGGAGUUUUAUGAGCAAACGUGCACAUUCAGAUCACAUGAGAGUUCACACUGGUGUGCGCCCGUACACAUGUCUGCAGUGUGGACAGAGUUUUACACAAAAAAGUAGUCUUAAUAAGCACAGGUCACUUCACUCUGGAGAUCGUGCAUAUAUUUGUCCUCAGUGUGGGAAGAGUUUUUCAAAGAAAGAAAGACUUGCUUACCACAUUAAAAUGCACAUUUGAGAACGCCUGUACACCUGUCCAUGAAAAGAGUUUCAGACAAAAAAAAUCAUGUAGAGGAACACAUGAGAACUGGAGAACGUCCACACACCUGACCUCAGUGUGGAAAGAGAUUAGAAGGAAGACUUAAAAAUCACAUGAAAAUUCACACCAGAGAAAAACCAUAUACGUGUUCAGUGUGGAAAGAGUUUCGCAAGAAAAACUCUUGAUGUCCACAUGAGACGUCACGCAUAGAAGAGCUCAUAACAGUGUCUACCGAGUGUAGAAAGUGUUUCACAGUGGCUCUGUUCACACUGUCAGUGUUUAGGAUUGUAUUUACAUAUGCAAGUCUUUUAAAUGUUCUGUUCUCACAGCUGAAAUACUGCCCGAAGGCUGAAGUCUGUAUUGUGUUCCCAUGCGACUCAUGUAACCACAGUGUUGGACUUUCAUAUGACUGGUAUUAUUUUUACUUGUUUAAUGCAUACACUGACAACGAUUAUAAAACUCUUUUUCUCACCAUAUUUUCUUUCAAAAUUAUUUUGAUGGGUUUUGAUCUGAAUCUGAAUCAGGCCCCUUGAUUAUCGAUGUGGCUACAGUACAUAUUGUAUGGACAAUCUUUUUUUCAACUGAAAAUUGCAUCAAAUGUCAAUUAACAGAUAUAGAUCAAAAACAUGAACUUAAAAAAUGAUAAUUUGAAAAAAACAAUAAAUGUGUAAAAUGAAUGAAUAUAAAUGUAACCUACAUUACUAUAUGUACAAAAGUAAAGAAAAAAAAGCAUGGAUAGAAUAAAAUUAUCUCAAAGAACAGAACAAGUGUUUGAGAACAUGACCAUAAUUGUUCUUUAAUAUCAACGAAAUUGUUAAAAAAAAGCCACUUCACUCAUCCUCUGACCACAGUCAAAACCAAAAAAACACGGUUCACACUUGAAUUUGAGUUCUUUUUUGUAGCUGUUGCUUCUGUUUUACAUUAUAAUCCUAUGGAGUAAACCGUGUAUUCAAAAAAGUCUCGAGUGCCUUUUGAAAUGCCAGCGCAGGUGUCGUAUCAAAAUCUGACUCCCCGUGAGAUUAUGACUCCCCUGUUUCACCAACGAAGGUUAGGGUAAGGAUUAGGUGUGGGGGCGGGUUUUAGCGGUAGGGACCAAUCACAAGGCAUCAUCCUAAGUACACCGGUGUCUUUUUCUGCAGCUCGGAGCGUCUGUUAAGGUUGAAAAAAGUUCAAUUUUUCUGAAAAAAAAAACGCCCAACGUCAAGCAUCUUUUUCACAGCUAAUCAACCUGUUUAUGAUUGACAGCUGCAUUUACUGAAAUGUUCUAUUAAACAGUAGCUCACAGCUGAAAUACGUCUGUAUGAACAAACACCUAAACGCUGAAGUCUGUAUUCUGUUCCCAUGUGACUCCACAGUGACAUUUUCUCUUUUGACUGCUAUUCUUUUUUGUUGGUAUUGCAAUACCAUUGUUUGUGUGAAUGUUUUCUGUAUCGACCAUCACUGUGUGAAUGCUGCUGUCAUUUACACUGAUGAUCGACUAUAGAGAGAAAGAUCAACGAUCGGACAUCAGUAAUGUAAUGAUGUCUGUAUCAGUGAAAAAUAAAUUUCAAUCCACUUUUUAAAUACUUUACUACUGAGCUAAUUUAAAGAAUUUAAUAGAUUAAAAUAGCUUUGGAUUGAAGUACGUAUUCUGCUGCUCACACUCCAGUCCAGUAGAUGGCGGUAAUGCGCCUUUAAGAUGGUUUGGCAACCGCUAAUAAAAACAAAAGAAGCACAGAUAGAAACGGACAGAAUGGCAACGAAGGAGAAGCCAAAGUGGAGUAAAAGAACGCAAUGUUCAGCAAUUAACUGCAAAAAUUAUCAGUGUGACAGUACAGAUGUUGCUUUUCACCGUUUUCCCAAAGACCCUGAUAGGUGUUCCAAGUGGGUGCAGAAUCUCAGGAAUGCAUCUUUGUUGGAGAUAAGCCCACAGCGGCUCAAUCAAAACUAUAGAGUGUGCAGUGCACAUUUUCACGCUAGCCAGUUUAAGAGACCUUCUGAUGUCCAUGCGGGAUUGAAAUGGAAUGCAGUGCCCACAUUGGUUAAUGUCUCUAAACCACCCCCUGUGGACUUGGAGUUAAAGAGAAAACCACCAAACUCGUGUCAGGAGUUACCACCAAAGAAACGUACAAAAAUUGUUUACCUGUCAAAUGCAGGCUCAUCCACUGCAGUCAGUGUUCAACAACCCACUGGUUCAACUUCAGAGACAGACAGUAAACCACCUGAUGCUUCUGUAGCAGGACCAUCGAUGCCACGGACACCACCAACAUACCUUGAUGCUGCGACUGCCAAGGAACAUGCCCUGAAGAUGAAGAUUAGGUGUCUGAAGGUACAGGUAUGCAAGCUGAAAGCGAAAUUGAGGGAAGUGAACCGGCUGAAGAAUACCAGGAAGGCCUGUGUUAAUAAAUCGUCAGUGAUGGAGCAGUUGAAAAAACUCUUACCAGCCAAAACAUAUGCUUUUGUGAGUACACAGAUACAUAUGUCACAGCGGAAGACUCAUGGUUUUCGGUAGACCAAUCAGGACAAAGCAUUCUGGUCUCUGGUACAUGCCAGUCCAGAGUGUUACAGACUACUGUUGAAUGUGAUUUCUAUGCCAUCUGUCUGCACACUGCAGAAGCUUAAUAAAUCUUAAGCAUUGUAUUUAUAUAAGUUUUAGUUUACUUUAUUGAAUCUUUCCAUUUUAUGCAACUUAACACAAUUACUAUUACUAAUAUUAGUUAGUAUUGUACUCUGAAAUAUAUAUAUUGUACAUUUUAAUCGCCUGGAAAACACUACAGACAGGAUGAUCUUAUAGAUGCAUUGCUGUGUCUGUCAAAAAUGAAUAAUUAAAUAAUUUUGGAGAGUUUUUUUUGUGCAACAUUCCCAAUUUUUCUUAUGCAUGUCCUUAAUUAAAUUUCACAUGUUGGUAUUAUUUCAGUGUUUAUAAUACUUGUAGAAUUUCAACCAAACUGUUUCUAGAGAGCACUUAAACGCAAAGUCAGUAAAAUAAACUGUUUUUCAAGCGA